CCAGACUCCUACGGGAGGCAGCAGUGGGGAAUAUUGCACAAUGGGGGAAACCCUGAUGCAGCAACGCCGCGCGAGUGAAGAAGUCAUUCGUGAUGUAAAGCUCUAUCAGCAGGGAAGAACAAUGACGGUACCUGACUAAGAAGCACCGGCUAAAUACGUGCCAGCAGCCGCGGUAAUACGUAUGGUGCAAGCGUUAUCCGGAUUUACUGGGUGUAAAGGGGGCGCAGACGGCAGCGCAAGCCAGGAGUGAAAGCCCGGGGCCCAACCCCGGGACUGCUCUUGGAACUGCGCGGCUGGAGUGCAGGAGGGGCAGGCGGAAUUCCUGGUGUAGCGGUGAAAUGCGUAGAUAUUAGGAGGAACGCCAGUUGCGAAGGCGGCUCUCUGGACUGUAACUGACACUGAGGCACGAAAGCGUGGGGAGCAAACAGGAUUAGAUACCCGCGUACC
rnacentral:rRNA from 1 species